GUGGGGAAUAUUGGGCAAUGGGCGAAAGCCUGACCCAGCAACGCCGCGUGAAGGAAGAAGGUUUUCGGAUCGUAAACUUCUAUCCUUGGUGAAGAUAAUGACGGUAGCCAAGAAGGAAGCCCCGGCUAACUACGUGCCAGCAGCCGCGGUAAUACGUAGGGGGCAAGCGUUGUCCGGAAUGAUUGGGCGUAAAGGGCGCGUAGGCGGCCCGGUAAGUCUGAAGUGAAAGUCCUGCUUUUAAGGUGGGAAUUGCUUUGGAUACUGUCGGGCUUGAGUGCAGGAGAGGUAAGCGGAAUUCCCGGUGUAGCGGUGAAAUGCGUAGAGAUCGGGAGGAACACCAGUGGCGAAGGCGGCUUACUGGACUGUAACUGACGCUGAGGCGCGAAAGUGUGGGGAGCAAACAGGAUUAGAAACCCCAGUAGUCC
rnacentral:rRNA from 1 species